AGCCGGUAGCCAUUCCGUUAUCAGAAAGAACAGUCGACAUUUUGUGGUUUUAAGGAAAAUUUAAGUUCAUCUUGCCGGGAAUUCGGUUAAAUGGAAAAAUAUUCCUCCCAAGUUUUGGGGUUUAAUUUGAUGAACGUCUAGUGGGAAGUUAUAGCCGAGAGGAUUUCGGAUUGACCUGAUAUUUUUGGAUUUGGUCGGCUGCUCCCACACCAUUUAUGGGAUUUUGAAAUUUUCUAACCACGAGACUCUAGGCCUCGCUCACCACCUUAGAGGCCUCUCCUUUUUCUCAUUCUCUUCUCUAUUCUCUGGUCUCUUCCUAUUCUCUGAUUUCUUCAACCGGCUGAAGUGAGCCUCAACACAGCCUGGACUGAGCAUUGUACUGUGGCUCUGCGAUUUUGGAUUGGAACUUGCCUGAAAUCGACUUGCCCAUGUGGUCGUUACCCUGGUUGUAGCUGACUGGUUCCAGAGCUGUCGAGUUAAGCUACCUUAGCCAAAAUACACAAGAGAUUAGAGGACACGCAAGUUUUUGCACAUUUUAUUUUAUUUUGCUCUUAUUGAACGGUUUGAUUUAGGGUUGGGGGUUGAUUUAUUAAUUUGAAUUUUAUGGGUUUAUUUUCUUUUGUGUAAAACAAAAACGUUAAGGGGUUCUUGCUAAGUCUAUUAACAUUAACCUGAGGGUUUUCAUUUGAGUCGAGCAUCGACAUAAUUGAUUUUGACAUUGAGCCUGGAUCACCUUGUAAGGGAUCGGCUAUUUGCUACAAAUAACCGAUUUAGUCAUAGUGUUGGUUGUUGGUUAAUAGGUUUUAUUGCACCAACAUACCCAUUAAUAGGCUUUCAAAUUCGAACCUUACUAUUUAAAAGUUUUAUUUAGAUUAAUGUGACUUGACUAGAGUUUGUAAAAGGUAUUUUAGGGCCAGUGAGGUAUUGUGAAAGGCUCCAAACAUAUACUUCUUGUAAGCAACACGUGAUCACGUUUUGGAUUUUCCUUGAACAGUAGUUCAGUGCGGAUUUGUUUUUUUUUACUAAUUCCUCGCCUUAAGCAUACCUCAAGUAACUCUUAAUUCUUUUAUCAAUUUUUUAUUUAUUUAAAAUUACUACAGUUUGAAUAAUUAUCUAAAUUUAAAUAUCUCAGUGGAAUUUAAUUUUUUCUAUAUAAAUGGAAGUGACUAUGUAAAUUCUUGGAUGAUUAUAUCAAUCUGGUGGACCUAUGGAUUGUUAUUUGAGUUUUUCGCAAAUUAUUUUCAGCUUUUAGUAUCUAGGUACAAGCAUAAAUAUAGGUCAUCAUUUACUUGAUUAAGAGGGGGUUUAUAUUACCAUCAUAAUAUAUCAGGGUUUGGUGUAAAAUAUUUAAAUCAAGUGGCGCUCUUAUUAAAAUUUCUCCCACUACCUUCUCCACUGUCUAAAAGCUGGCGGCCACCAAAUCUCUGAAUCUUUUGAAACAAAAUUUGCUUGUCUGGACUUAGUAAUUUUUUUGUGGUUGGAUAGUAGGUAUAACUCACACGGGUUGGAAAUAAAUUGGUUUGAACCGAGUUGCGCGCUACAAUAUUAACGAGAGCGAAAGAAGAAAAAUUAAAUUAGGAUUAAAAUAUUUUAACCCGAGAUAAAGCAAUACUGAGCAAAAAACAAAGUUUUAGACAAAAUGAGAAAGGGGGUUUGUUAUUUUUCUUAUUUUGAUUAAACAGUAAAAGGUGCCUAAUAAGGUGAAAUUAACCAAGCUACUUAUACCUAUUGAUAUAAAAUCAGAGAUUCAAGGAAUGGAUUUAUUUUUGUAUAUUUAUUUUAUACGUUAAGCGUGAAGGGUAUAGUUGAUUAAAUUAGUUAUAAAAUUGUUUACGCAAGAGCAGAGAUAUAGAGAGAUCAAGAGAUAUUAAGAGCAUUAAAGAGAAGGAGAGAUGGAUGAAACCAUAUAAAGGAAAUUGUUUUGAUACACUAAAUUGUAACAAAUUUCUGAGAAGGUAUAGCAAAUAGAGAGAAACUGUCACAAUAUAUAAUCAAAACAAGUGAGGGAAUUAUGCGAGAUAUUAUGAGUAAUAUUACAAAUAAUACCAUAUAUAAGAAGAGAGAGGAAAAUAUCGCCUAUGAGUAUCAGAAAGAGAGAAAGACAGAGAGAAGAUUUGGCAAACCAGGGGGUUUAAUAUUUGGGAGUAAUAAGAUUAAUUACCAAAUCUUUCACCGAAAAGUCAUAAAAUAUUAAUAUAAAUAUAAUAAAGGGCGAUGUAUAACUAUAAAGUAAGAGUACUAUAAGAGGCAACAAUGAAAACCAAAUUAUAAGUUGUCAAAGUAGAUUAUGAAAAUGAAUAAGUAAAGACAACGAAACCGACCUGAUUUCACUCUGUAUAAAAAUCGUGACACUAAAAUAUAGCAAUAUAAAAGAUGGGACGAUCGACGAGCUGCGCUACAGCGGACGUCACCGUGCGUGGUGUACUUGACGCGCAACGCGACGCGAAACGUCGAGACGCUAGAUGUGAGGAGAGAGACAGGUAGACGGUAUGAUUGGAUUGACCCGAGCACGGAAUUUCUAUCUUUUACCAAAAAAUUUCAUGAGGUUUACCGAUAAGAUAGCAGUUUGACCAUGAGUUUUUUUAUGCAUUAGUUAUUUAUUAAAUACACGUUUUGGAUGUAAUUUUUAGCUAAAUAUAUGUAAUAAAUCUUAAAUCCAAAUCCGCGAUUGAAGUGACCAAAAAUGGGGGGUAAAAUUAGAAUAGUGGACUGUAUUUUUAUAGGUGGAAUGAAAUAUUAUGACGGUUAAGACAACCCUAUUAAAGUGGUGGCCUACUUUGCUGUCGCUUCUUUUUCUAUCUAAUUCAAACUGCUUGUCCUCACGCUAAGCAUGAUAAUUUGAGUUAAUGAGGAAAACGAAAAAAAAUUAUCAUAAAACUUAAUAAUCCAUAUGGCAUUCCCUAGCUCUAUUGUCUCUGUUAUUGUGAAAUAUUCAUGGAAACAACAUGACGAAGCACCUACACAUUUUGGUAUUUAGAUUGCGUAGGCUGGAAUUCAGAUCAGCGAUUUUCACGCCCAUCGAUUGGAAAAGAUGCACUUUCUUCCCUCUAAAUUUUUCUUUGUGGUAAUCUGAAAAGUUAAGUGUACGAAGCACCGUUCAUAAUAAAGAGAAUCGUAUCUUUGUUAACGCUAAUACCAGCAUAUUCCAAAGUGUUCGCGAAUAGCUAAGCCGAUGGUUCAAUUUUUGUAGUAAAACAAAAGGUAAAAGUCUUAAGCAAUUAUUUUCAACUAUAAUUUACUUUUAACAAAAUAAGUAAAUAAGUAAACAAUUAAUAAAUUAAUAAUAAUAUUGUUUGUUACUAUUUAGUGUAAACGCAAGAGUACCUAGACAAAAAAGUAUAACUUCUUACCUAAAUUCUCUCUUAAUUUCUUCUGUUGUAGAUUCUGGGCCUCUAGUUAUUCGUCUAGAUUCACUUGCCUGCCACGAAGAUGCGUGUUGUUCACCCUCAUUUCUUGACAAGUGAAAGGACUGUAUCUUGGUGCUUCUUUGUGAUUUCGGUGACACUUCAGAAUCACUACCGAUACUAGAGAAUGGCCGUACAAUAGCAAUUGGUCGUCUUCUAAGGCAAUAAUAGGAACAGCCUAGUCCUAACAGCAACAAUGACAAAAAUAGGAUUCCACAAAUUACGAGAAGAAUUUGAAAUCCUUUAAGUGGAGGCUCAAGAGCAGCUAUGGGUACUACGGCUUCCUUACUAAAAAAACAAAUAUGUUAUUAGGCAAGAAUUCUUGUAUUGUUUAAUAAAAGUAGUAUAUUAUAGUAUUAUAUUCAAAUUAAAAAGAAUAAUUAUACGAUUUACAUAAAAUCA